UGCCACGGGCUCGGCAGACUCGCGCAUGGAGAUGCAGCCCACGGGCUGCGGUCUCACUGCUCCGCACUAAGCGAACCCGUGACGUCACUGCGCCAGUGCCGUGCGCAAACGCUGGCGUGCUGCUGCCUACGGGCUGUUGGUAGCACUGACCGCAGUUGUGAGCUACGGGCUGCGAGCGCAGAGGUGGGCAUCGAGGCGCGGCCUGUCCUGGAGCGCAGCCAUGUAAGCCGUGCGUGCCUUGCCUCACGCUGCCGUUUCAACCAGGGCAGCUGCAUCGAGAUCCGACGGGCCGCAGGGUGUAGAGUCGUGCACAGAGGCAGGGAACUGGUAAAAAGAAGAACGGAGUAAUGGGGCUGGACAUGUAUUUCACAGUCCCACCACAACCAAGAA
rnacentral:lncRNA from 1 species